GUGCAAAGGUAGCAUAAUCACUUGCCCUUUAAAUGGGGGAAUGUAUGAAUGAUUAGACGAGGUUUUGACUGUCUUUUUCCUAAAAAUUGAGAUUCCAGUGCCUGUGAAAAUGCGGGUAUAAUAAUAAUGGACGAGAAGACCCUGUUGAGCUUAAAGAUUAUACAUAAGCGGCUGUUCAGUUAAAUAAUUUAUUAUUACUAAAACAUGCGUUGGGUGGAAGAUCUUUUGGCUGGGGUGGCAAGCAAAGGAAUUAAG
rnacentral:rRNA from 1 species